rnacentral:lncRNA from 1 species
ACCCUUUAUGGCUUAGAAUGAGCUUAGAAUCAAGCAAAACACUUUGUUUAGUCAAAAGAUAGUCAAAAGUUGUUUUUAGAGAUAUUAUGCUUGUUUUUGCAUUGUUUUGUAGGAUUUGAUGAGAUUUGAGGAUGGAAGUGAAGAAGGGAGGACUUAGACUCAAGAAAAGAGGAGAAAAGGAAGAAAAGAAGAGUCAAGUUCAC